rnacentral:rRNA from 1 species
GACGAACGCUGGCGGCGUGCCUAACACAUGCAAGUCGAACGAAGUGGCGAACGGGUGAGUAACGCGUAAUCAACCUGCCCUUCAGAGGGGGACAACAGUGGGAAACGACUGCUAAUACCGCAAAGGGAAGGAGGGGAUUGCGUGUGAUUAGCUAGUUGGGGGGGUAACGGCCAACCAAGGCGAAGAUCAGUAGCCGGGCUGAGUGGGUGGACGGCCACAUUGGGACUGAGACACGGCCCAGACUCCUACGGGAGGCAGCAGUGGGGAAUCAUCCGCAAUGGACGAAAGUCUGACGGCGCAACGCCGCGUGAGUGAUGACGGCCCUCGGGUUGUAAAGCUCUGUUAAUCGGGACGCGGUACCGGAAUAGAAAGCCACGGCUAACUACGUGCCAGCAGCCGCGGUAAUAC